GACGAACGCUGGCGGCGUGCUUAACACAUGCAAGUCGAACGGAAAGGCCCUGCUUUUGUGGGGUGCUCGAGUGGCGAACGGGUGAGUAACACGUGAGUAACCUGCCCUUGACUUUGGGAUAACUUCAGGAAACUGGGGCUAAUACCGGAUAGGAGCUCCUGCUGCAUGGUGGGGGUUGGAAAGUUUCGGCGGUUGGGGAUGGACUCGCGGCUUAUCAGCUUGUUGGUGGGGUAGUGGCUUACCAAGGCUUUGACGGGUAGCCGGCCUGAGAGGGUGACCGGCCACAAUGGGAAUGGGGUACGGCCCAGACUCCUACGGGGGGCAAGAGGGGGGGAUAAUGCACAAUGGGCGGAAGGCUGAUGCAGGAACGGCGGGGGGGGGAUGACGGCCUUCGGGUUGGAAACCGCCUUCGCCUGGGACGGAGGGUGGGGUACGGUAAAGGGGAAAGGAGCACCGGCUAACUACGGG
rnacentral:rRNA from 1 species